GACGAACGCUGGCGGCGUGCUUAACACAUGCAAGUCGAACGGAAAGGCCCUGCUUUUGUGGGGUGCUCGAGUGGCGAACGGGUGAGUAACACGUGAGUAACCUGCCCUUGACUUUGGGAUAACUUCAGGAAACUGGGGCUAAUACCGGAUAGGAGCUCCUGCUGCAUGGUGGGGGUUGGAAAGUUUCGGCGGUUGGGGAUGGACUCGCGGCUUAUCAGCUUGUUGGUGGGGUAGUGGCUUACCAAGGCUUUGACGGGUAGCCGGCCUGAGAGGGUGACCGGCGACAAUGGGACUGCGAUACGGCCCAGACGCCUACGGGAGGCAGCAGUGGGGAAUAUUGCGGAAUGGGCGGAAGCCUGAUGCAGAAACGCCGCGUGCGGGAUGACGGCCUUCGGGUUGUAAACCGCUUUCGCCGGUGACGAAGCGUGAGUGACGGUAAUGGGUAAAGAAGCACCGGCUAACUACGUG
rnacentral:rRNA from 1 species